rnacentral:rRNA from 1 species
AGAAGGGCAUGCGGUGAAUGCCUAGGCGCUAAGAGCCGACGAAGGACGCGGUAAGCUGCGAAAAGCCGUGCCGAGACGCAAGCAGUCAGCGACACACGGAUCUCCGAAUAGGAAAACCCCACUGGAGUAAUGUCCAGUGACCCUGUGCUGAAUACAUAGGUACAGGGAGGCAACCCGGGGAACUGAAACAUCUAAGUACCCGGAGGAAAAGAAAGAAAACUCGAUUCCCCUAGUAGCGGCGAGCGAAGCGGGAAGAGCCCAAACCGGCCUCGGCCGGGGUUCGGACACUCAACACGUAAGGAAAGGUUAGUGGAAUGACAUGGGAAGGUCAGCCAUAGACGGUUAGAGCCCGGUAGACGAAAACCCGAACUUACAGAGUGGAUCCAGAGUACCACGAAGCACGUGGAAUUUCGUGGGAACACGCGGGGACCACCCCGUAAGGCUAAAUACUCCUUAGCGACCGAUAGAGAACAAGUACCGUGAGGGAAAGGUGAAAAGCACCUCGGAAGAGGAGUGAAAUAGAACCUGAAACCGCACGCUUACAAUCAGUCACAGCUCCAUAAGAGAGUAGUGGCGUACUUUUUGUAGAACGGACCGGCGAGUUACGUUAACAAGCGAGGUUAAGGAAACGGAGCCAAAGCGAAAGCGAGUCUGAAAAGGGCGAAAGUUUGUUGACGUAGACCCGAAACCAGGUGAUCUACCCAUGAGCAGGUUGAAGCGUUGGUAAAACAACGUGGAGGACCGAACCAGGGAUCGUUGAAAAGAUCUUGGAUGACUUGUGGGUAGGGGUGAAAUUCCAAUCGAACCUGGAGAUAGCUGGUUCUCCUCGAAAUAGCUUUAGGGCUAGCCUUGUAUGAUUUUUGUCGGAGGUAGAGCACUGAAUGGGUACGGGGGCUUCACCGCCUACCAAACCUUAUCAAACUCCGAAUGCCGACAAGAAAGUACAGGAGUCAGACCAUGGGGGAUAAGCUUCAUGGUCAAAAGGGAAAGAGCCCAGACCGCCGUCUAAGGUCCCAAAAUCAUUGUUAAGUGGAAAAGGAUGUGAAAUCGCUCAGACAACCAGGAUGUUGGCUUAGAAGCAGCCACCAUUAAAAGAGUGCGUAAUAGCUCACUGGUCCAGGGGUUUUGCGCCGAAAAUGUAACGGGGCUCAAACAAUGUACCGAAGACGCGGAAUUACAGUAAUGUAAUUGGUAGAGGAGCGUUCUCAUUGGGGAGAAGCGAUACGGAAACGAGUCGUGGACUAAUGAGAAGAGAGAAUGCCGGUAUAAGUACACGAUAAGGCAGGUGAGAAUCCUGCCCGCCGGAAGUCUAAGGAUUCCUGGGGAAGGCUCGUCCGCCCAGGGUAAGUCGGGACCUAAGGCAAGGCCGAAAGGCGUAGUCGAUGGGAAACAGGUAGAUAUUCCUGUACCACCGCUAUAUGAUGACGAAGCAGUGACGCAGAAAGGUAGAGCGAGCGGCCAGUUGGUGAGCCGUUCAAGUGAGUAGGGUGUUGCGUAGGCAAAUCCGCGCAACGGGAGCCUGAGACACGAUGACGAGUGAAAAAUAGUAACGAAGUCCUUGAUCCUCCGCUGCCAAGAAAAGCUGCUAAGGAAUAUAGAGGUGCCCGUACCGCAAACCGACACAGGUAGACAGGUAGAGAAUACUAAGGCGC